GAUGAACGCUAGCUAUAGGCUUAACACAUGCAAGUCGAGGGACCGGCGCACGGGUGAGUAACACGUAUCCAACCUGCCCUUUACUCGGGGAUAGCCUUUCGAAAGAUAGACUAAUACCCUAUAUAAAGGAUGGGGAUGCGUUCUAUUUGGUUGUUGGUGAGGUAACGGCUCACCAAGCUCUCGAUGGAUAGGGGUUCGGAGAGGAAGGUCCCCCACAUUGGAACUGGGAAACGGUCCAAACUCCGACGGGAGGCAGCAGUGAGGUAUAUUGGUCAAUGGACGCUAGCCUGAACCAGCCAAGUAGCUUGAAGGAUGAAGGCUUAUGGGUCGUAAACUUCUUUUAUAUAGGUAUAGGUAUUAUAUGAAUAAGGAUCGGCUAACUCCGUGCCAGCAGCCGCGGUAAUAC
rnacentral:rRNA from 1 species